UACGUAGGUGGCAAGCGUUGUCCGGAUUUACUGGGCGUAAAGAGCGCGCAGGCGGUCGUUCAAGUCGCGUGUGAAAGCCCCCGGCUCAACUGGGGAGGGUCACGCGAUACUGAUCGACUCGAAGGCAGGAGAGGGUAGUGGAAUUCCCGGUGUAGUGGUGAAAUUCGUAGAUAUUGGGAAGAACACCGGUGGCGAAGGCGGCUCACUGGCUCGUAACUGACGCUCAGGCGCGAUAGCGUGGGGAUCAAACAGG
rnacentral:rRNA from 1 species